rnacentral:rRNA from 1 species
GAUGAACGCUGACAGAAUGCUUAACACAUGCAAGUCAACUGUGGCGGACGGGUGAGUAACGCGUAAAGAACUUGCCUCACAGAUAGGGACAACAUUUGGAACCGAAUGCUAAUACCUGAUACUGUGAGAGAGCUUUGCGUCCCAUUCGCUGGUUGGAGAGGUAACGGCUCACCAAGGCGAUGCUGGGUAGCCGGCCUGGGAGGGUGAUCGGCCACAAGGGGAUUGAGAAAAGGCCAGUAGGCCUACGGGAGGAAGCAGUGGGGAAUAGUGGAAAAUGGACCGAAGUAUGAUCAAGGAAUUCGGGGUGUACAAUAAAGUUUUCGGAAGGUAAAGUGCUUUCAGUAGGGAAGCGGUACCAACAGAAGAAGUAACGGCUAAAUACGUGCCAGCAGCCGCGGUAAUAC